GAGACAGUUCCUGGUUGUGAAGACCGUGUCGUUACUAUCUACAGCACUAGUGAUGAGACUAAUGCCUAUGAGGAUAGUGGUAAUUAUAUUUCUCCUGCUCAGGAUGCUCUGUUCAGGGUGCAUGAUAGAGUUAUUGCAGAAGACUUGCAUGAUGACGACGACUCUGCGGGAGGUCAUCAAGUCACUGCUAGGCUUCUUGUACCAUCUGAUCAGAUAGGAUGUAUUAUUGGAAAAGGUGGACAAAUAGUUCAAAACAUUCGUAGCGAGACUGGUGCACAUAUUCGCAUUCUCAAGGAUGAACAUUUGCCAACUUGUGCAUUGAGCACAGAUGAACUAGUACAGAUUUCUGGUGAAGCUGCAGUUGUCAAAAAGGCUUUGGAUCAGAUUGCUUCUCGCCUUCAUGAGAAUCCAUCACGUUCUCAGCGCUUGCUUUUUUCUGCUGCCCCCAGUGUGUACUCUGCUACUGGUUCAUUAAUAGGUCCAACUGCUGGUACACCAAUUGUUGGGAUAGCUCCACUGGCGAGUCCAUAUGGAGGAUACAAAGGUGAUGCUGGAGA
rnacentral:misc_RNA from 1 species